rnacentral:rRNA from 1 species
AACGAACGCUGGCGGCAGGCUUAACACAUGCAAGUCGAGCGCCCCGCAAGGGGAGCGGCAGACGGGUGAGUAACGCGUGGGAAUCUACCCAUCUCUACGGAACAACUCCGGGAAACUGGAGCUAAUACCGUAUACGUCCUUUUGGAGAAAGAUUUAUCGGAGAUGGAUGAGCCCGCGUUGGAUUAGCUAGUUGGUGGGGUAAUGGCCUACCAAGGCGACGAUCCAUAGCUGGUCUGAGAGGAUGAUCAGCCACACUGGGACUGAGACACGGCCCAGACUCCUACGGGAGGCAGCAGUGGGGAAUAUUGGACAAUGGGCGCAAGCCUGAUCCAGCCAUGCCGCGUGAGUGAUGAAGGCCCUAGGGUUGUAAAGCUCUUUCAACGGUGAAGAUAAUGACGGAACC